GUUCCAUUUUGUGCGAAUCAAAUGAUGAGCAUCAUAAAAAAUUUAAUGGUGUCCAUUGAACGAACAUUGAACAUCAAAUAUGAAAUAGUACUAACGCUUAUGCCCUAACUCAAUCACUUGCAACGUGCUGUGUUGCUCGUGUUAUGUUAGUUCUCAUUUGUGAAUCAAAUGCGUCCGAGUCUUCUCAAUUAGGUAUUUAUGUUCUAUGUAUAGUAUGCCAGUAAAACUAGCUGGUGCAUCUGAAUUUUUAAGUUGUAGCUGCAAUUGCCACCUAUGUUCACUUCAAUUAGCUUUGUGUUGUGACUGAGGGAGGAAUGACAUGGAAGCAAUUACCAAUUGGAGCAGAAUUGGGUUGGUUUACUAUCAUCAUGACCGACUUUACCUCUCUUGAUGUUGUUUUCAUCAAGUAAUAUUACUGGUCUAUUAUGUCUCAUUUGAUGGAAAUUGUCAUUUGCUGAACAAAUGGCUGCCAGAAGCACAAUGAUUCAUAUGUAAAUAACUGUUUAUAAUGUUUUUAUCAUUAAUCAGUUAUUCAUUUUGAAGUUCAAUUUGUUUUUAUAGUUUAAUGAUUAUUAACAGUUGUGGUGGAAGUGUGAUGACGGAUGCAUAUGCCAUAAUUUAGCUUCUAAAUCGUGUGUCACAACAUUUCUGGGCUUUAGUACAAUUCUUGUAUAACUACCUGACUCUUUCCUUAUUUUUUCUACAGCAAGCAAAGUAUAUUGAGGAUCUCAACCUAUGGUUUUUCCCUCUGCCAUCUGCCUUGUGCAAUAAUACAUAUGUGAGGGUAAAAUAGGAUGUAAAGGCUUCAAGUAUUGUCUUUUAAAGUUUCUCUAGCUUGCACUCUAAUAUUAAUUUGCUGGGUGUAUCGAGAGAAAAGUCGAUGAUGAGCUGAUGCACCUCUGAAUGGCUAUUGAUUUAUCUAACAUUCAUGCGUUGCAUUACCAAACAAGGCUUUACAAAUUUGGGUUGGAACUCUUUGUCAAAAAUGAAGAUCAAGCAUCUGGCCUUGUUUGGUGAUUGUUAACGCCCCUUUGUAAGGUGCCUGAUUUGAUAGUGGACUAUGAUAUGUUUAAACAGAAGUUCACAUUCCUGCAUCAAGAGGAAGUUAUAGGUCUAAUGGCCAUACUACUUUUAGAAUUCAAUCAAAUGGUGAUUUACAUCUGGAAAAUGUAGAAACCUCUCAAUAGUGGCCUGACCUUUCUAAAGCAUACUCCUGUGAAAGGCAGGAAGUUAUUUCCCAUGACGGUGUUGUGAUUCCCCUAAAUAUUUUAUAUUCUCACAAAAUACAUUCCAGUGGAAAUUCUCCUGGGCUUAUAUAUGGCAUAUGGAGCUUAUGGCGAAGUCUUGGAUAAGGGUUAGUCUGCAGAUCAUAUCAGCUUGCUUGAUCGAGGUUUGGUUAUUGCAUAUGCAGAUGUAAGGGGUGGAGGAGAUAGAACAUGGUAUCAAGCUGGAACCAAAAUAAAAAAAAAUGAACAAGCCAAAUUCAUUUCAUGAUUUUACUGCAUGUGCCAUUUAUCUUAUUAUCUUAUUAGUGAGGGUUUCGUUCACAAAAAUCAGCUGGUGGUAAUUGGUUGCAGCGCAGGAGGCUUUCUUAUUGGUGCCCACCGUACCCUGAUUUAUUUUGUGCUGCCAUUUCCAAGAGGGUUGUUAAAGAUUCUUUUAACUAUAUGACUUGAUUGCCUCCGACUCUACAUGAAGGGGCCAUACAUCUUCAAUUAAUAAUAAUCCAGUUCCUUUCAAAAAUAGUAAUGGGAACUUUGUGAAAUCCAUCAAAAAUAAA